rnacentral:rRNA from 1 species
AUUGAACGCUGGCGGCAUGCCUUACACAUGCAAGUCGAACGGCAGCACGGGAGCAAUCCUGGUGGCGAGUGGCGAACGGGUGAGUAAUAUAUCGGAACGUGCCCAGUCGUGGGGAUAACGUAGCGAAAGCUACGCUAAUACCGCAUACGAUCUAUGGAUGAAAGCGGGGGAUCGCAAGACCUCGCGCGAUUGGAGCGGCCGAUAUCAGAUUAGGUAGUUGGUGAGGUAAAGGCUCACCAAGCCGACGAUCUGUAGCUGGUCUGAGAGGACGACCAGCCACACUGGGACUGAGACACGGCCCAGACUCCUACGGGAGGCAGCAGUGGGGAAUAUUGGACAAUGGGCGAAAGCCUGAUCCAGCAAUGCCGCGUGAGUGAUGAAGGCCU